GGCUGAUGAACUGCAGUGCAGCCUGGUUGAGAUGUGUGCACCUCUGCUGAUAAAACAUGAGGUCUCUCCUGUGCGGACUGGCGGUCACCACCAUGUGCUGCAGAGCUGGAGCUGAGUCAAACCGACAUGUCAAUGAUUGCUUUAGACGUUCCUUCACUCACCCCAUGAAAUAUUGGCCAUCUUUUCUGCCACAUGGAGCAAACCAACCCACACGUUCAUCGGCAUUUUUGAGCUGCAGUGCAUUAGUCCUCUGUUUCCAGCAAUGGUGUGAAGAUGGCAAUGGCCAGCAAGAAGGGACAUGCCAUUAGAGGUGUAGCAGCCAGCCAGGAGGAUGGUGAGGAGUUGGAAACCAAAUGAUUCUUCACCAUGGCUGCAUCACCUUGCCCAGCAGUUAAAGAAAUAUGGAUGCAAACCUUCUAUGGGGUAGAAGAGAGGAAAGACUGUUCCUAGGAACACAAAGGCUCUUACUGAGGGCCAUGCCAGCUUUCCACGUGCAGAAGAAACCUACUGAAACCAUUCUGGAACCCAAAGCUAUUGCCCUGUCUCAGAGCAUGAGGAGCUUGGUUGGAAAAGAGAAACCAUGCCAGAAUUGCACAUCACCACCAGCAGCAGACAUCAGAGCAUGCAGAAGUCUUUGUGUCCCCCUUGGCUGGGCCACAAUCCUCACCCCAGCAGUGGGGUAUAGGAAAAGGUGAAAAGCUCUUGAAAGCAAACACCAUGCCUUAUUGACACAACCUUUCCUUAUCAGAGCAGGGGACAGGAGUAGACUGGGCUUCCUUCAGAAGACCUGUGUGUGCCUGUGGAGAUGUGUAGUAGACACAUAAAGCCUGAGUGAGAGGUCAAAGCUCAGGAAGAGGUGUCAAAAAGGGGCAAAAGAGUAUCAGGCAUUUGUGGCACCAAGGUCAUUCAGAUUACAGCACAUCUGUGAGUAGCUUUUCAAGAGAGACUUGCUGCUGGCCUCCUUUCUCCUGUGUUGUGGCAAGGACUCACUAAGUAGAGCUGUGUCUCGGAGCGUGAACACUGGACGUUUGUCCUAGUGCUGUU